UACGGAGGGUGCAAGCGUUAUCCGGAAUCACUGGGUUUAAAGGGUGCGUAGGCGGCAUGAUAAGUCAGAGGUGAAAGCUUGCGGCUCAACCGUAAAAUAGCCUUUGAUACUGUUAUGCUUGAAUCAGGUUGAGGUAGGCAGAAUGUGGCAUGUAGCGGUGAAAUGCAUAGAUAUGCCAUAGAAUACCAAUUGCGAAGGCAGCCUGCUGGACCUGCAUUGACGCUGAGGCACGAAAGCGUGGGGAUCAAACAGG
rnacentral:rRNA from 1 species